GCACAAUGGGCGCAAGCCUGAUGCAGCAACGCCGUGUGAGUCGAAGAAGGUUUUCGGAUCGUAAAACUCUGUCCUAAGGGAAGAAAAAAUGACGGUACCUUAGGAGGAAGCCCCCGGGCUAACUACGUGCCAGCAGCCGCGGUAAUACGUAGGGGGCAAGCGUUAUCCGGAAUCACUGGGCGUAAAGGGUGCGUAGGCGGCUUGACAAGCCAGGGGUGAAAGGCAUUGGCUCAACCAAUGUAAGCCUUUGGAACUGUUAAGCUUGAGUGCAGGAGAGGUAAGUGGAAUUCCUAGUGUAGAGGUGAAAUUCGUAGAUAUUAGGAGGAACACCAGUGGCGAAGGCGACUUACUGGACUGUAACUGACGCUGAUGCACGAAAGCGUGGGUAGCGAACAGGAUUAGAUACCCUGGUA
rnacentral:rRNA from 1 species